rnacentral:rRNA from 1 species
ACGGAAUAGAUACCCCGGUAGUCCAUGCCGUAAACUAUGGAUACUAGCUGUUGGGGGUAUCGACCCCUCCAGUAGCGAAAGCUAAACGCGUUAAGUAUCCCGCCUGUGGAGUACGAUCGCAAGAUUAAAGCAUAAAGGAAUUGACGGGGACCCGCACAAGCGGUGGAGCGUGUUCUUUAAAUUCGAUGCUAAACGAAGAACCUUACCAGGGCUUGACAUCCCUUGAAUUACUCCGAAAGGAGUGAGUGCUUUAUUGAGUAAGGUGACAGGUGAUGCAUGGCCGUCGUCAGCUCGUGUCGUGAGAUGUUUGGUUAAGUCCAUCAACGAGCGCAACCCUUAUACUUAGUUGUAUUUUUCUAGGUAGACUGCCCCGGUAACGGGGAGGAAGGGGGGAUGAUGUCAGGUCAGUAUUUCCCUUACGUCCUGGGCUAGAAACGCGCUACAAUGGCCGGUACAAUGCGGAGCUGAAUCGCGAGAUGGAGCAAAUCGCAUCAAAGCCGGUCCCAAUUCGGAUUGUAGGCUGAAACUCGCCUGCAUGAAGUCGGAAUC